GGAAGGAUCAUUACUGAAUUGUCAAACGGGCUGUUGCUGGUCCUCGAAUGGGGACAUGUGCACGCUCUGUUUACACAUCCACUCACACCUGUGCACCCUCUGUAGUUUUACGGUCUGGGGGACCCUGUCUUCCUUCCGUAGUUCUACGUCUUUACACACACACUGUAAUAAAGUCUUAUGGAAUGUAUGCCGCGUCUAACGCAAAACAAUACAACUUUCAGCAACGGAUCUCUUGGCUCUCGCAUCGAUGAAGAACGCAGCGAAAUGCGAUAAGUAAUGUGAAUUGCAGAAUUCAGUGAAUCAUCGAAUCUUUGAACGCACCUUGCGCCCCUUGGAUAUUCCGAGGGGCAUGCCUGUUUGAGUAUCAUGAACACCUCAACUCUCAUGGUUUGCCGUGACGAGCUUGGACCUUGGGGGUUUUGCUGGCCUGUGGUCGGCUCCUCUCAAAUGAAUCAGCCUCCCAGUGUUUGGUGGCAUCACGAGUGUGAUAACUAUCUACGCUCGCGGUUUUCCACCAGGUAACCUUUGGUGACAAAGGUUCGCUGGAGCUCACAGAUGUCUCUCCUCAGCGAGGACAGCUUUUUAACGUUCGAUCUCAAAUCAGGUAGGACUACCCGCUGAACUUAAGCAUAUCAAUAAGCGGAGGAA
rnacentral:rRNA from 1 species